UACGAGGGGUGCAAGCGUUGUUCGGAAUUACUGGGCGUAAAGCGCACGUAGGCGGCUUUGUAAGUUAGAGGUGAAAGCCCAGGGCUUAACCCUGGAAUUGCCUUUAAGACUGCAUCGCUAGAAUCGUGGAGAGGUAAGUGGAAUUCCGAGUGUAGAGGUGAAAUUCGUAGAUAUUCGGAAGAACACCAGUGGCGAAGGCGACUUACUGGACACGUAUUGACGCUGAGGUGCGAAAGCGUGGGGAGCAAACAGG
rnacentral:rRNA from 1 species